UACGUAGGGUGCAAGCGUUAUUCGGAAUUACUGGGCGUAAAGCGUGCGUAGGCGGUUUGUUAAGUCUGAUGUGAAAGCCCUGGGCUCAACCUGGGAAUUGCAUUGGAUACUGGCAGGCUAGAGUGCGGUAGAGGAUGGCGGAAUUCCCGGUGUAGCAGUGAAAUGCGUAGAUAUGCGGAGGAACACCGAUGGCGAAGGCAAUCCCCUGGACCUGUACUGACGCUCAUGCACGAAAGCGUGGGGAGCAAACAGG
rnacentral:rRNA from 1 species